UACGUAGGGGGCAAGCGUUGUCCGGAAUCAUUGGGCGUAAAGCGCGUGUAGGCGGCCCGGUAAGUCCGCUGUGAAAGUCGGGGGCUCAACCCUCGAAUGCCGGUGGACUACUGUCGGGCUAGAGUGCGGGAAGAGGCGAGUGGAAUUCCUGGUGUGAGCGGUGGAAAUGACGCAGAGUAUCAGGAGGAACACCGGUGGCGAAGGCGGAUCUCUGGGCCUUACCUGACGCUCGAGGCGCGAAAGCUAGGGGAGCGAACAGG
rnacentral:rRNA from 1 species